rnacentral:misc_RNA from 1 species
GGGGACUGCUUCUACUUCUACCAAUGCUUUUGAAGAUAGUGUGUCCAUUGUAGCACAUGGGAGGAGACCUCAAGUUGAUUUGCUUAAUGAAAAAGCAGGUGACCCUGGUCACUCUUCUGUUGAUGACCUCCAGCUUACUGCAACUCAGAUGUGGCAGGGUCCAAAUAGGGUAGAAAAUCCCAAAACUGCCAGCAGCAUUACGUGUGAAGGAGAAUUUAGUCUGGCCUCAAGUAUGGAACCUUCUAUUUCAGGAGGCAGUUGCAGCUCUUUGGAUAGCUUCAGAAGUUUAGCAACUGAUGGGAGCAAGUAUCAUCUGUCUGAUGGAUCUCACUACAUGAUGAAUUGGAAAACCUACAUGAGGACUCAUCUGGUGGAAGGUGAUGCAGAGUUGCUGGACUCGGCCUCUUCCGCUUCUCUUGCUGAUGCAGGUGAAAAGGAGUCGACUACUACGUUAACUUCCUCAAAUUUCAAUGAAUCAGCUUACUGGGAGUUCCAAUAUAUCAGAGAUAUAAUUAGAAGCUCCGACAUGGUAAUGGAA